ACUGUGGUUCUAAUCAUACUUAGCAGAACUUCCCUCGGCAGCUGUAUCUACGUUGGCCUUCAGUGUGCUGUGAUGCAAAUGCACAGUAGCUGCCCAGACCAAGAAUUGGUCCAGAGAUCCUGACCUUGAACUCCUGCUAACCCUUAACAUUUUGUGUCUUUAUAUUUAAUGUUUCUUUUUCAAACAGCAUAUAGCUGGGUCAUUCUCCCUCCCCUCUCAUUCAUCCAGUCUAACACUUUUUGCCUUUUAAUUGGAGUCCAUUUACAUGUGAUGUUACAAGAGUGGGUUGAAGUUUACCAUGUUGCUACUUAUUUCUUCUUUGUUCCUUUGUUCCUCUUUCCCUGUCUUCUUUCAUGUUAACUGAGAAUAUUUUAUUUUUCUAUCAAAUAUCUUCAGUUAUUAGGAGAUAGAGACAAAACAAACCCUCCAAAAAACAAAGAAUCCUGGAGGUGGUUUUUUGAAAAACAAUGAACAAAAUAGACCACUAGAUAGGUUAAUAAAGAAGAAGAGAAAAGCAUCAAACAGACACAAUAAAAAAUGGUAAAGGGGAUAUCACCACUGACCCCACAGAAAUACAAACUACCAUCAGAGAAUACUAUAAACACUACUAUGCAAAUAAACUAGAAAAUCUAGAAGAAAUGGAUAAAUUCCUGGACUCAUACACCCUACCAAGACUAAGCCAGGAAGAAGUUGAAUCCCUGAAUAGACCAAUAACAAGCUGUGAAAUUGAGGCAGUAAUUAAUAGCCUACCAACCAAAAAAAGCCUAAGACCAGAUAGAUUCACAGCUGAAUUCCACCAGAAAUACAAAGAGGAGCUGGUACCACUCC
rnacentral:lncRNA from 1 species